rnacentral:lncRNA from 1 species
GGAACUCCUGUUGCUAAGAUGAUGAGAUACACAAUGGUGGUGGACACUCCUGUUGUGACAGCUGAGAUAUUUAAAGCAGUGAUGUUGAGGGAAUUGCUGUGAUGACAGACUGCCUCAGCAUAAUGCUCUUCACUAGAAAAACAUGCAAUGAAUAAUAAAGGCAGAUGAUAGAGUCUUCAGAAUAUCUUUCAAUGUGAAGGCAAUAGUCGUAAAGCUUAAUAAUAAAUCAUAGGAUGGAACAGGGAAAGGAAAUUAUGAGAAAAAGGCUUUCUGAGGACCUGAACUACUGGUAAAUGUGGAAUUUUAGUUUCGUACAUAUUAUUGGGUGAAGAAUCUGCAGUGAGGAGCAUCAGAGAGAAAGGGAGAAAAGCCUGGAAUAUAGAAGGGAGCUCAAGCAGUUACAAACAGGUACUUUUUAUUGAAAAUAAAGUAGUUAAGGUAAAAAUUGUUGCUCUGAAAGUGGUCGUUCUCCCUCCUUAACCCAUUCUGAAAAUGAGCUUUAAGCUC